UCUCCACUUAGCCAUGUAGAACAGGGCUCGACAUCCCAGUUGUUUGGACCAGAAAUGAGGCCAAUGGUGUACAGAAAAUUAUCGAAAAAAUUACAUGUUACAACAUCGAUUAUACUUGAAAAUUCUCCACACAAACUGAUAAAUAACAAAUGCCAAAACUUGUCCAUUGUAGGGAAGAACGGAAACUUUGAUGGUGUAUGAAAAUUGGACAAACAUAAUGAUUGGUUAUUAGAGGAACCUUCUGAUUUAUGCCUUAGUUGCCAACGGUAUGUAUGUAUGCUUACAAGAGUGUUGAAAUAUCACCACCAUUUUCUAACCACGAAAAUCAAUCUUUUUAGUCGCAAGGCGAG
rnacentral:misc_RNA from 1 species